UGAAAAGGGCGAUACUAGCAGUGACACCAUUCGCAGAAAAUCAACAGCUAUUGUUUAAAUAGACCUGGCAUCACUGAUGCUAAAAUAAUUCAUUCAUAUACCUGUCAAAAGCAUCAUUUUUCACUUGCAAGAGGGAUGAGGAUUGUAACAUUGGGAACCUGGCACAUACAUUGAUCAAACGGCUCUGGAUAGAAAACACGGUGGCAUAUGUGUUUAGGACAUGAGUUGUGCGGCCGAGGCGUUAGUGAACUGGCUCAAAUAACUUCACCAGAAACUCUUGCUUUUAGUAAUGUGAAAUGGAUUCUCGUAUUGCUACCAAGUACAAAACUGGGUAACUUGAGCAAUUGACCCUCGGCAUGUUUCGUGGCAAGUGAUGCUCAGAGUCUACGCGUUUAUCAAACAGCAAUCGAUGUUCGAACACUAGCGUUCCAAACGCAGGUUCCAUUGGAUGGAUUCGACGAAAUUGUUUUAAGAUUCUUUAUCUGAUUAACCCCCAGGAACUCGUAAAAAUAGUCUCGCAACAGUUUACGGCCCGACCAGGAUGCAUAAUUCAACUAGAUACAAUUGACAAUGUCACGCAUGACUAGUAGAAUACUAAAUUACUGCUUAUUUUCUAAAAACGGCUGACUACUGUUGAGCGUUCUGAGGAACAGAUGAUAAUACGCUAUGAUAAUAAACACUGGCUUAAUUGCAGGGCAGAUGGCAGAAUUCCCCGUUUACAGAUUCAUUCUAUUGGGUCGUUUUGGGAUGCACAGCAAACGGAACGAUGAACGUUGCGAAUUGUGAUUGCUUUACAACCUACGGCUUGGGAUGAAAUGAGCAGUAAUUUGAGGAAUGUCCCAGAUAGUAUCUUGGUACAUAAUUUAUAUGAUCCAGGGUACGUUCACCGAGCUGGAAUGCAUGGUGUGAGAAAAAACAACAGCGACCACAUCAACGACUAACGUUCGUGCUCAAGAGUCGCCAUUGCGAGUGGACGUCGAUGUGUUACAUGCCGCUUCAGCAGCUCGGCAUCUCAGAUCUUCGUCUAUUGAUACAGUUGGUUUUGCAUCUUACGUAUAAUUAACUAGCUAAUACCCAUCGCGCGUUGCUACGAUUUUCAACGAAAUAGGAGGAAAACACAAUUCUUACGUAGCGCUAUCUGGCGGGCAGAUAAUCCCCAACCAAUAGCACACAAAUACGCUCCAUAACAAAUGGAAUCUAUAAAUGAUAUACAUACAAACUUUGACUUUUAUAGAUUUAUAGAUAUAUAGAUAUAGAUAGAUAGAUGGAACCAACUAUUUGUUUCUAAAAAUGUAAUGUUAUUGGUAGUUUUGUGUAUAAUUGUCUCAUGGAGCAAAAAUGCGAGUAACGGCGGUGCUCAUGAGUUCUGCCUAUGCUUUCGUGUACAGUAUGGGAAGUCCCGCCUGGGCCAGGCGGCAUAACCAAUGAAGUCGGUUUAAGACAACGUAGAUUGGUGUUUCUUUUCAAAAACAUGUAACAGAACUUAUAUGCAAUGUUGAAUAAAAUUUAGUUUGGAAUUCAAUGCCCUAAUAAAAGCAAAGAUAUUUCUAGAAAUUCAAACUAAUUCGAAGUUUCUAUCCCACUCCUAAA